CUACAUUCUAACGGGAGGCAUGGACAAUGGAACUAAAAGAAACACACAUGCAAGAUGGGUGAGCGAGAAGCACUGUAAAGUAAGUUAACCAGAGUGAUGUCACUGAGGGUGCUACUUUAGCAGGAAUGGUCAGGUCAGUCACCUUACGAGAAGGUGGCAUUUGUGAUGAGACCCAAAUGGUAAAAAAGGAACAGCCAAGCAAAGAGAGGCAGAAAGUCCUGAUGUGAAAACCAGCUUUGAGUGUUUGAGGAACAGAAAAGAGCAGAGUGAGCAGGGCGUGGAGGGGGCGCGGAGUGGGAGGUGAGGCUGGAGAGGUCUAUAAGGACAGGAUCAUACAGCUUUUUGCGGGCUGUGGAGAGGAGUCUGGAUUUCAUUCGAAAUGAGUUAGAUGCAUAAGCACAGUCAUACAUCACUUAAAGAUGGGGACAUGUUCUGAGAAAUGUGUCAUUAGGUGAUUUCGUCCUUGUGCGAACAUCAUAGCGUGUGCUUAGCAAACCUAGAUGCGUAGCCUGCUACACAGCUAGGCUGUAUGGUACUAAUCUUACGGGACUACUGUCCUGUGCGUGCAUUGUUUUGAAUUUAGUUUGUCUGUGGCAUGUCUCUGCAUUGAGCCGUCAGCACCGCCUUUACCUGGUCCUCUGCUCUGACCACCUGGUGUCAGGAAAGACAGCCUUUGCCCUGAGCUCCAGGCUCGAAGCUGUUGCACAGGCUGAACUGGCCACCUGGGCUCCAGACCCCAUCUCGGAAUCAGGAUGGAGGGACAGAGAGUGCCUUGCCUGGAAACAGCCCAGGGCUAGGCCUCACCUCCUGGUGCAGGACUGAUUCUCUUGCAAUCCCUCAAGGCUCCUGGGUGAGGAGUGAGGUCACAGACAAGGGGUAGAGGUGAGAGCAAGAGAGCCAGAGACAGUGCGGCUGGUUCCCAGAGAACUUGGAAAACCCAGGAAGUUCGGCAGUAGUCAGACCAGUUUUCAAAUAUUUUUUCUACUAUUCAUCUCUACAUGUAUGACCUUGGACAAGUCACUUCACCUCUCAGCCUCAGUUUCCCCACCAUGACAUGGGGACACAGGAUCCAGCAUGACAACCUGAUUGCCCUCCGGAGGCAAAGCUGCAUCUCAGAACCACGGCAGAGCCUGCAGCAGGCACCAGGGCCUCUCGAAGGCUUUAGAAACCCAAGCGGACGAGAGGGCUGCGAACUCAGGACGGGAGUUCGACUGAGCCUCCUUGAACUGCGUUUAGGAUACACUCCUCUUUCCCAGCUUCACGUGGGAAGAGAUCAUUGAGCUUCAUGCGGCUGAAUUAUUUUUUGUUCUCAUUUAGUUCAUUUUUUCUUCUCCUUUAAAAACAAAGUCUAAACAGACUUUGGGCCACACCAGACCAUCUAGGAAGGGGGGGAAUGGUUUGGGAGCAGGUUUUCUGAAAGCUCUGGUCCUGGGAAAGCUCAGCUCACAAAGUUUACUAGGAGGCUGACUGAGCAACACACACACACACACACACACACGUGUGCACAUAUACACACAUCCCCUGGCCCCAGUUCUGCGCCACUUCCCCACCCCAACCUCAGGAAGUAGAUUUCUCAACGGCAGAGCGGCAGGCCUGGGUAUGAGUCAUAGACAAUCCCCUUUUUGUUUUGGGGAAUAAGAGCUCCCUCUCCCUCUUGGGGCCAAAAGGGGUUGCUGAGAAAGAUGUGGUCCUGCUCUAGAGGGAAAUUCCCACGUCUGUACCGUGCCUUGGGGACACCAUGGUCUCCUUGCCCAGCAAUCUUGAGGGCAAGGAUGCCCUUGCUCCUAAUUAAGGCCCAAGUUCCCCGGCUGCGGGCUGAUGUCUCUGGGGGUUCGUGCCAGGUGGCCUGGUGUAUGGACG
rnacentral:lncRNA from 1 species